UACGUAGGGUGCGAGCGUUUGUCCGGAAUUAUUGGGCGUAAAGAGCUCGUAGGCGGUGUGUCACGUCGGCCGUGAAAACCUGCAGCUUAACUGUGGGCGUGCGGUCGAUACGGGCAUCACUGGAGUUCGGCAGGGGAGACUGGAAUUCCUGGUGUAGCGGUGAAAUGCGCAGAUAUCAGGAGGAACACCGGUGGCGAAGGCGGGUCUCUGGGGCCGAUGAUCUGACGCUGAGGAGCGAAAGCGUGGGGAGCGAACAGG
rnacentral:rRNA from 1 species